rfam:Nasonia vitripennis chromosome 4, whole genome shotgun sequence.
CAAUCGGCCCUUUUCAGGGCCACCAAAUUCUCACAACGUAGAAUACG